rnacentral:rRNA from 1 species
UACGAAGGGGGCUAGCGUUGCUCGGAAUCACUGGGCGUAAAGGGCGCGUAGGCGGGCUCGUAAGUCAGGGGUGAAAUCCCACGGCCCAACCGUGGAAGUGCCUCUGAUACUGCGGGCCUCGAGGGGGAUAGGGGCGUGCGGAACUCGGGGUGGAGCGGUGAAAUGCGUAGAUAUCCUGAGGAACACCGGUGGCGAAAGCGGCGCGCUGGAUCCCUUCUGACGCUGAGGCGCGAAAGCCAGGGGAGCAAACGGG